UGGCCUAACGUGUUAGGAGGGGUCUCCGKCCCUUUAAGUGCAUGCAGCUAACGCAUUAUGCACUCAGCCUGGGGAGUACGGUCGCAAGACUGAAACUCAAAGGAAUGACGGGGGCCCGCACAAGCGGUGGAGCAUGUGGUYUAAUUMGAAGCAACGMGAAGAACAUUACCAGGUCUUGACAUCCUCUGACAAUCCUAGAGAUAGGACGUCCCCUUCGGGGGCAGAGUGACAGGUGGUGCAUGGUUGUCGUCAGCUCGUGUCGUGAGAUGUUGGGUUAAGUCCCGCAACGAGCAAAACCCUUGAUCUUAGUUGCCAGCAUUYAGUUGGGCACUCUAAGGUGACUGCCGGUGACAAACCGGAGGAAGGUGGGGAUGACGUCAAAUCAUCAUCUCUCCUUAUGACCUGGGCUACACACGUGCUACAAUGGACAGAACAAAGGGCAGCGAAACCGCGAGGUUAAGCCAAUCCCACAAAUCUGUUCUCAGUUCGGAUCGCAGUCUGCAACUCGACYGCGUGAAGCWGUUGGCUCUCGCUAGUAAUCGCGGAUCAGCAUGCCGCGGUGAAUACGUUCCCGGGCCUUGUACACACCGCCCGUCACACCACGAGAGUUUGUAACAACCCGRAAGUCG
rnacentral:rRNA from 1 species